rnacentral:rRNA from 1 species
UACGAAGGGGGCUAGCGUUGUUCGGAUUUACUGGGCGUAAAGCGCACGUAGGCGGAUUGUUAAGUCGGGGGUGAAAUCCCAGGGCUCAACCCUGGAACUGCCUUCGAUACUGGCAAUCUAGAGUCCGGAAGAGGUGAGUGGAACUCCUAGUGUAGAGGUGGAAUUCGUAGAUAUUAGGAAGAACACCUAUGGCGAAGGCAGCUCUCUGGGACGGUACUGACGCUGAGACGCGAAAGCGUGGGGAGCGAACAGG